rnacentral:ncRNA from 1 species
UUCGAACCGCUCUGUGGGGUCGAGCGAGUUCCUCAGCAAAGUGUGAACGUGAACUUCUUUUUCUUUUUCGCCAGGUUUCAUUCGAUUUGUUGUGGAUUGGAUGAUGGAAAAACCAGCAAGCCGCUUGACCUUUCAUACGAGGUCAAGGGUCAAAGAAUUUGAGUUGUGAAAAGGUUGGAAGAUUUGGCCAAAGAAGGUGAUAGCCCUAUAGAUUCGUUUCAAUGGUUCGAUCCUUUCCAGUUAAACACGGCAUGUUCCAAUUCUAAUCACUUUUACGUGAGAAAGGGGGACCACCCUCUAAGCCUAAGUAUUCCUCAAUGACUGAUAGCGUACAAGUACCGUGAGGGAAAGGUGAAAAGAACCCUAUUUAGGGAGUGCAAUAAAGAACCUGAGAUCUGAUGCUUUCAAUCAGUCGAAGGAGCGGCAAGCCUUGACUUGAGAUUCUCUUAGUCAAGCUAUCUCACUCUAACGGUACCUUUUGCUUGACGGGUCAGUGAGAAAAUGGGAACUACAGCUUAAGCCAUUAGGUGU